GGGUGACUAGUCUAGUGGUCAGGACGUUUCGUUGUGGUUAUUCGAAGGGACCCUAAUGGGUCUCCGGGUGCUACAGAAGAAUUACCGAAGAAACCCCGGUUCGAUUCCGGGGUCGCCCA